GGCAGAGCUGGGCGGCUGGGCCUGGAGGACAGCGGCGGCGGAGACGACGAGCGGCAGAAGGAACGGCGCCGAGAGGCCGUGCGGAACGCGGGCGCCAGGAAGGGGGGAGCGCAGAGGUCUGGAGGCUCUUAGAGUAUCACGUACUUCAGCAGGAUUUUUGCCCUUGGAUUACUUAUCUAAUGGAGAUGAAGUCAAGGUUGCCGAUAAUUUUCCUGAUCCGUUUGAGAACAAUAACAACAAAAACCUUCUCUCUUCAGUAAUUGAGUUGACUCUUCACCACACUGAAACCAUUAGGAAAAAUCCUUGUGGUUAACAGCAGAGGCUUCAGAGUGUAACCUGUACUCGGGCCUAGAAAUUAUUUUAAAUGGCGACUGAUACGUCUCAAGGUGAACUCGUCCAUCCUAAGGCACUCCCACUUAUAGUAGGAGCUCAGCUGAUCCACGCGGACAAGUUAGGUGAGAAGGUAGAAGAUAGCACCAUGCCGAUUCGUCGAACUGUGAAUUCUACGCGGGAAGCUCCUCCCAAAAGCAAGCUUGCUGAAGGGGAGGAAGAAAAGCCAGGUAAAGUAAAGCAGUAGACAACUUAAAGUGGCAAAAGUUUCUAUUCCAGUUUGGAGUAUCCCAUUAAUUCCUUUGAACUUAAUUAAUUGUUCUUUUUUCAUGGCUGUUUUGGGGGGACAUUGAAAGAGAGAAGUGGUACC